CUUCUGCAAAAGAAACUUACCUAAAGAAACUUUACCCCAGUAAACAAAGCCUGCCCAUCUCUCCUCUCUUAGCCAUUUCUCAUCCGCUGUCUUAGCAUGCGAGGGGGUGACUAUCACGAGGAAAGCAACGAAGGCUGGCCCUAAUAUGUGACGUAAAACAUCCCACCGGUGGGAUGAAAGCAGUGGACCGGUUCCGCCCCCGUCCUGGUGGUCAGGUCCGCUGGAUAAACAGAUCCACCAACGCUUACAGAAAGUGGCUCCUCUGCCUGUUUGUCGUCCUGCUUGGGGACAUCCAGGCGGUCUAUGAAGCUCUGCAGCUCUUUCCUGAAGGCUUUCAUCUGUGCGUUGAUACGAUACAGCAGCUCGUGCUCUCUGAUCCUGAGGAAGAACAAGUUUGGACUUCAAAAUCAGGUUCCUGGAUUUCCUCCCCUGGUGUGGUGAGCCCGAAUUGAGCGUGAGAGUGAGAAAAUUGUGCAUGGUGGAUGUUUGGACCCCACCUCCCUGGAACAUCGUUUGCUGUUUGCAUAUUUGUGAUUGUUGUAGAUAGCUUCUUCACUGUUAAAAAAAACAACAACAAAAAAAACACGCACUGAUCUGAGAUCUUCCAAGUCUGCACCUGAGUCUACCAGUCUAUUGGCCUUGACAGAAUAAUCCAGCCAAGAAAUGGACUCAGCAGACUAACAUGGUGAGCCGAACCCUCGCCUCCCAGUUGGACUAGCAUGAGCAAAUACUCCGAGGGUCACAAUGUCUGCCAUGGAUCACAAAUCAAACCUGUUCUCUCCGGUCCAUUGUGCCCUCCUUCCAUGCUCCCACCACCAGAUGGGUUUUGAUGAAGAACCUAAAACUAUGCUGAGAACUGGGAUCAUUUGAUUCACAUAUCUAUUGAAAACUCAGGUCUAUUCUCUUCAUAUCAUAAAACUAGGCAGUACAUUAUCUUUAUGAGAAGUUAUUUCCGUAAUAAUUUAAAACGUGGUCAGCGUAGUAAGCACACAAUUUCAUAUCUGAUGCUCAUUUUAAUGUGACCAUUCUCCCCCAUAGUUUUUUAAACCUGGAAAACCACAUUAAGUUUAAAAACACAAACUUGAUUCAAACACAUUUUUCAGGCCUUGCCAGAAUUAGGUUAGACCAGCCUUUGCCUUCAGAACUGCUUUAAUUCUCCAUGGUACAGAUUCAACAGAGAAACAUUCAUCUGAGAUUUUGGCCCAUAGUGACAUGAUAGCAUCACACAAUUGCUGCAGAUCCAUGAUGUCUGUUUCCUGUUUCACCAUUUCCCAGAGGUGCCCUGUUAUAUGGUGACUGUGGAAGCCACCUGGGUACUGGGUACCUGCUGCUGUAGCCCAUCUGCGUCAAGGUUCAGUUCAAGUUUAUUGUCAUAUACAGAUAACAUUGUAGCAACAUUUACCCUUAAUGAAAUUCUUAGACUCGUGUUCCCCAACUUUACAUGAACAUAUAGAAAGUAUACAGGUAUUAUUAAAGAAAAUAAUAAUAAUAAAAUUUAAAAAAUGUUAUAAAAAUACUAAAAGUGUUAAAAAUGUUAAGAAGAAUUUAAAAUGUAAGAAUUUAAGGUUCGAUCUGCUGGGUAAAUGCGCUUCUGUACCUCUGAACUUCAUGAAUUACUGUCAGCAAGGCAUUUUCACUCAAAGAAAUGCAGCUCACAAAAUAUCUUUUCUUUUUAAGACCAUUCUUUGGAAACCACAUAGAUGGUUGUGUGGGGGAAAUCCCAGCAGAUCAGCAAAUAUGAAAUACUAACCUGUCUGGCACCAGCAACCACACCACAUUCAAGGUCACUUAAAUCGCCUUUUUUCCACAUUCUGAUGCUCAGUUUGAUCUUCAGCAGGUCACUUUUCCCACGUAUACAUGCCUAUAUGCACUGAUUU